rnacentral:rRNA from 1 species
ACUCCUACGGGAGGCAGCAGUGGGGAAUAUUGCGCAAUGGGCGAAAGCCUGACGCAGCAACACCGCGUGAGCGAUGAAGGCCUUCGGGUCGUAAAGCUCUGUUGUAAGGGACGAAUGUUCCUAUGGCAAAUAGCCAUAGGGAGUGACGGUACCUUACCAGCAAGCCCCGGCUAACUACGUGCCAGCAGCCGCGGUAAU